GCAGAGCAGCCCCAGCAGAGCAGCCCCAGCAGAGCACUGCGGGGGGACGUGUGGCACAGGGGGCACUGCCAGCCCCGGGGUCAGCAGUGCACAAACGGGGCUGCUCCUCCGUAAGUACUCUGCACCAGAAGCUUUAUGAGAAUAAAAUGAAGCAAAGCACACUGAAGCUGCCUGGUGUGACCCUCACUGCUGAGCCAAAGCCGUGCUGGCACAGCACCUUCACCCAGCGCGGCACACAACACAGCCCACAGUGCCCCUCAGAACUGCACCGCCUCACACAGUAACCAUAAAGAACACUUCUAACAUUAUCUCUAAGCUUUCCCUAUGGAUUUGCCAAUAGGACACAGUUGCAGUAUAUUACUUAACUCAUAAAUCCUAAUUGUUAAUAAUUGAGGUAAUCAGCUUUUACAAGAUUACUGCGUUAUACGUGCUUAUUAAAUAUGAUGCAACUGCAAAGAUAAUUCCUGUUUCUGAAGGGCCACCUCAGCACUUGGUUUCAUAGUGUUAAAGAAAUAGGCUCCUGCACUAAAACUGAAGCUGUAAUGAAAGUAGAAUCGACUAUAUCAUUUAAAAGAAGGAAACUGAAACGCAAUUAUCAACACCUCAUACUCAGUAUAAGAGCAGUACAAACGAACUGAGCUGAACGUGCCCACCCGCAGGGCUCCUCCCAGAUGGCACACAGGUGCUUCUGCCCAGCACAGCACCCAGCUGUGUCCGUGGGGCCACCAGGUCAGCCCUGUUAACAGCUGUGAACACCUGGGGCAAACUAAGUCAACCCCCAAUUGGCAUAAUGAAUUUGCACCAAACCAGAAAGUGUUUCUGGGCCCGGCUGCCACCCAAUGUGCAAUGACCCCCAUCAUAGGUGCUACCGGGCAGAUGAGCACAAGGCACACAGUGGUGAAUGUGGAUAUUUCCUGAGAAUCCACCAAGGAAAAUGAAAGGUUAUUCGUCCCUCCCUACACACAAAGCAAGACUGUGCUUCUGAGCAUCACCACCUCUCCCCCAGACCUCAGCGCACCGCUAACUGAGCGAGCUGGGAUGGCUGCUGCACAUGGCCAGACCAGAGCAGCCCUUCCUGUGCUCAGUACUCACAUGUACCUCUAAGGCCUCAAGGGAAAUAUAUAUCCAAAAGUCUGACAGUGGUUGGAGCCUUCGCCUUCACAGGGCUGGUCCUGUGCUACCGAAUCACAAAGCAGGGCACACAGCUGCUGCCAUGUUGUCCUUACUCCCCAUAUUCUUCUGAUACCACGCUGUCCCACAACAGCAGCAGGGAGACAGAGGACACCACCAACACAAAGGACUGGAUGCAGCCCGGCCACUUGUGAGAUCCUUUGCUGUUGUUUUCCCCUCUCUGCAGGGAUGUGAACCCAGCCAAGGCAGCGGUGCCUGUCGCCCACGAGCAGGAGGGCUGUGCUGGAGAGGCUGCUCCAGCAGCACAGGCACCUGCACUCACAGGACAGGACACAGCCUUCCUCCCAUGUCCCCCCCUUCAGCACAACUACAGACAGUUCUUUUAUUCUGAACAAUGCUCAGCUCAACUGUAACCAUAAAUCAAUCAGCAGAAGCAUUAAUUUAAAAGCCUUCAGGAGAAAAAAAAAAAGACUGCACAGUAGGAAAAAAGGGUCUGCUAACACUGCCAUGCUGAGUGCCUUGGUUUUAGCCCCUGCAUAUGAAUAAAGUUCCAUUGCAGAUUUCUUCUCUCUCCAUCCCUCGCCUCCAAUCAGCUCCCAACAACAGCCAGUUGUGAGCACUGUCUAAAAGCAACAGCCUGCGAGUCACUCCAAUGCCAUCAAUGUGCCUCUGGGGUCCUUCAGAU
ensembl:lncRNA